UACGUAGGGGGCAAGCGUUGUCCGGAAUCAUUGGGCGUAAAGAGCGUGUAGGCGGUCCGGUAAGUCCGCUGUGAAAGUCGGGGGCUCAACCCUCGAAUGCCGGUGGAUACUGUCGGGCUAGAGUGCGGAAGAGGCGAGUGGAAUUCCUGGUGUAGCGGUGAAAUGCGCAGAUAUCAGGAGGAACACCAAUAGCGAAGGCAGCUCGCUGGGACGGUACUGACGCUCAGGCGCGAAAGCGUGGGGAGCAAACAGG
rnacentral:rRNA from 1 species